rnacentral:rRNA from 1 species
UCUCGUUUAGAUUGAAGGAGCUUGCUCCUGAUUGAUAAACAUUUGAGUGAGUGGCGGACGGGUGAGUAACACGUGGGUAACCUGCCCUAAAGUGGGGGAUAACAUUUGGAAACAGAUGCUAAUACCGCAUAAAACCUAACACCGCAUGGUGUAGGGUUGAAAGAUGGUUUCGGCUAUCACUUUAGGAUGGACCCGCGGUGCAUUAGUUAGUUGGUGAGGUAAAGGCUCACCAAGACCGUGAUGCAUAGCCGACCUGAGAGGGUAAUCGGCCACACUGGGACUGAGACACGGCCCAGACUCCUACGGGAGGCAGCAGUAGGGAAUCUUCCACAAUGGACGAAAGUCUGAUGGAGCAACGCCGCGUGAGUGAAGAAGGUUUUCGGAUCGUAAAACUCUGUUGUUGGAGAAGAAUGUAUCUGAUAGUAACUGAUCAGGUAGUGACGGUAUCCAACCAGAAAGCCACGGCUAACUACGUGCCAGCAGCCGCGGUAAUACGUAGGUGGCAAGCGUUGUCCGGAUUUAUUGGGCGUAAAGCGAGCGCAGGCGGUUUCUUAAGUCUGAUGUGAAAGCCUUCGGCUCAACCGAAGAAGUGCAUCGGAAACUGGGAAACUUGAGUGCAGAAGAGGACAGUGGAACUCCAUGUGUAGCGGUGAAAUGCGUAGAUAUAUGGAAGAACACCAGUGGCGAAGGCGGCUGUCUG